CGACUCACCUGGCAGGGGAGACACCGUGAUCACGAAGGUGGUUUCCCAGGCCGAGGCUUGUCCACUGCACUCCUGAUGUGCUGACCCCUGCGAUUUCCCCAAAUGUGGGGAGCUCGACUGCAUAAUUUGUGGUAGUGGGGGACUGCGUUGGCGCUCUGCUCCUA
ensembl:snRNA U1 U1 spliceosomal RNA